rnacentral:misc_RNA from 1 species
GUUUUUCGAAUGAGUUUCAUAGUCUGUAAUUUUUGUGAUUUUAUCCAGGAAAUAUAGGAGCUGUGGUGAUGAAAUUUUCCAACACAAAAGAAAAAGACAUAUAGAAGCUGUACAGUAAUCAAAUACUGGCUGAAGUCUCCAAAAACUCGGUUUACCAGCAAAGAGAAUCUAAAAAUGUUCAAACACCGGAUCCUGGAGAAAAAUCUGAAUGCUACAAAAAUUGAGAUUGAAUUGAGGUGCAGUAACAUGAACCAGUAUGUAGCUCAAAAAAUUGCUACUUUGAACAGGAAGAGAUCAAAGUAUUCUGGAGCACAACAAUAAGGACCUUUCUUAAUAGAUAAAUGACAUGCAUAUGAGUUAUUUUAAUAAACAAACUUCUCACAUUA